rnacentral:rRNA from 1 species
GAUGAACGCUAGCGAUAGGCUUAACACAUGCAAGUCGAGGGGCAGCAUGGUCUUAGCUUGCUAAGACUGAUGGCGACCGGCGCACGGGUGCGUAACGCGUAUGCAACUUGCCUCACAGAGGGGGAUAACCCGUCGAAAGACGGACUAAUACCGCGUACACUCCAUCUUGGGCAUCCAAGGUAGAGGAAAUGAAAUUCGCUGUGAGAUAGGCAUGCGUCCCAUUAGCUAGUUGGUGAGGUAACGGCUCACCAAGGCGACGAUGGGUAGGGGAACUGAGAGGCUGAACCCCCACACUGGUACUGAGACACGGACCAGACUACUACGGGAGGCAGCAGUGAGGAAUAUUGGUCAAUGGGCGAGAGCCUGAACCAGCCAAGUCGCGUGAAGGAUGACUGUCUUAUGGAUUGUAAACUUCUUUUAUACGGGAAUAACAAGAGUCACGUGUGACUCCCUGCAUGUACCGUAUGAAUAAGCAUCGGCUAACUCCGUG